rnacentral:sRNA from 1 species
CCCAGUCGUACCCGAUAUUCCACAAGAGG